rnacentral:rRNA from 1 species
AGAAUCAACGCUGGCGGCGUGCCUAACACAUGCAAGUCGCACGAGAAAGGGUAGCAAUACCUGAGUACAGUGGCGCACGGGUGAGUAACACGUGAAUCAUCUACCUCCGAGUGGGGAAUAACUGAGAGAAAUCUUAGCUAAUACCGCAUAAUACCCACGGGUCAAAGCAGCAAUGCGCUUGGAGAGGAGUUCGCGGCAGAUUAGUUAGUUGGCGGGGUAAUGGCCCACCAAGACGAUGAUCUGUAUCCGGCCUGAGAGGGCGCACGGACACACUGGAACUGAAACACGGUCCAGACUCCUACGGGAGGCAGCAGUGGGGAAUUUUGCGCAAUGGGGAAACCCUGACGCAGCAACGCCGCGUGGAGGAUGAAGCCCCUUGGGGUGUAAACUCCUUUCGAUCGGGAAGAUAAUGACGGUACCGAUAUAAGAAGCCCCGGCUAACUUCGUGCCAGCAGCCGC